AUUGACUUUGACAUUGACCUAUUUGCGGAACGUUCGUUGACCUCUAGCAUCAAUCAGAUGUUUCAUUUGUAAAAUAUUGUGAACUUU